rnacentral:tRNA from 1 species
GAGGGGAUAGCUCAGUGGUAGAGUGUGUUCUUAGCAUGCAUGAGGUCCUGGGUUCAAUCCCUGGUACCUCCA